UUAGUGGCGAACGGGUGAGUAACACGUGAGUAACCUGCCCUCCACUUUGGGAUAACUCCGAGAAAUCGGGGCUAAUACUGGAUAUGACCUUGGCCCGCAUGGGUUGUGGUGGAAAGUUUUUUCGGUGCAAGAUGAGCUCGCGGCCUAUCAGUUUGUUGGUGAGGUAGUGGCUCACCAAGGCGAUGACGGGUAGCCGGCCUGAGAGGGCGACCGGCCACACUGGGACUGAGACACGGCCCAG
rnacentral:rRNA from 1 species